rnacentral:rRNA from 1 species
UACGGAGGGUGCAAGCGUUAUCCGGAUUCACUGGGGUUAAAGGGUGCGUAGGCGGUUCGUUAAGUCUGUCGUGAAAUCCCCGGGCUCAACCUGGGAAUGGCGAUGGAUACUGGCGAGCUAGAGUGUGUCAGAGGAUGGUGGAAUUCCCGGUGUAGCGGUGAAAUGCGUAGAGAUCGGGAGGAACAUCAGUGGCGAAGGCGGCCAUCUGGGACAACACUGACGCUGAAGCACGAAAGCGUGGGGAGCAAACAGG